rnacentral:rRNA from 1 species
UACAGAGGAGCCAAGCGUUGUCCGGAUUGACUGGGCGUAAAGCGCACGCAGGCGGACGCGCGCGUGGGGUGUGAAAUCUGGCCGCUUAACGGCCAGGCGCCAUCCCAUACGGCGGGUCUGGAGCCUUGCAGAGGUCGGUGGAAUUGCCGGUGUAGUGGUGAAAUGCGUAGAGAUCGGCAGGAACACCCAGGGGGAAACCAGCGGACUGGGCAUCAGCUGACGCUCAGGUGCGACAGCGUGGGGAGCGAACCGG